rnacentral:rRNA from 1 species
UGAGGAAUAUUGGUCAAUGGCCGGAAGGCUGAACCAGCCAAGCCGCGUGGAGGAAGAAGGCGCAGAGCGUCGCAGACUCCUUUUGUCGGGGGACAAACGGCCGCACGCGUGCGGCUCUGAGGGUACCCGAAGAAAAAGCAUCGGCUAACUCCGUGCCAGCAGCCGCGGUAAUACGGAGGAUGCGAGCGUUAUCCGGAUUCAUUGGGUUUAAAGGGUGCGUAGGCGGCGUCUUAAGCCGGCGGUGAAAUCGCGGGGCUCAACCCCGCCGAGCCGUCGGAACUGGGAUGCUCGAGUGUCGGCGAGGCAAUGCGGAAUGCGCGGUGUAGCGGUGAAAUGCAUAGAUAUCGCGCAGAACCCCGAUUGCGAAGGCAGCGUGCCAGCCGCCCACCCUGACGCUGAGGCACGAAAAGCAGCGGGUAGUCGAAACAGGAUUAGAUACC